GAACCACCGUCUACAGAAGGCCCGCACCAGCUGUGCAAGAAAACUAAAGAUAGUAGGGGAGUUCAUGUAUCAGACUGCAGUAUUUCCUGAGUCUUCUGGGGAAACGACAGCCUGUAAAGUGCCUCUAGAACGGCAAUGUCAUGACCUGCUUCCUGUGCUGCUGCUCUCCCCGGACCUCUGUUGGCAGAGCUGAAACGGCAGAGCCACACUGACCUCUAUCUACUGUGUCACAUCACUAGAUUUGCUGUUGGUGCCAAGUGAAGGUGUUACUGAAGAUAAACAGAAUUCACACUAUAAUGAGCAGUGACAGGAUGUCACCCACUCUGCCACAGAUCAAACCCCAGCCCGCUGCUUCUACCCUUGCACCCACCUGCACCCAUCCAGCUGAGACCGCCCGUUUGUGUGAUGUCACCUGCAAACCUCACUAAUUUCCGCAGAACCAAUCAGCCGGCUGAUUCUGCUGCAACAAGACGGCAACACGCACUUUCAGUUCUUCAAAACUUGGUCAAAUCUGAUUGCGUUGCCUCGUUUUUACCAAGGGUGGACCGUCUUUUGUUUCUCACUUGCCAAGUCCUCUGAUCUCUGUAAAUCCACAGAGAGUUGCCCCCUCUAAGUGGCCUUUAGCCGUGUUUGAUCAUCAGUUGAGUUAUAGAUUUCUCCAUGACUCAUAAUUCAGGCACCAGACUUAGAUGUCAACG